AGCUCUUCAAGUGGUCGGGACUAUUAUUGGGCUUAAAGUGUCCGUAGCCGGUUUGGUAAGUCCCUGGUUAAAGCUGGAAGCUUAACUUUCAGUUCGCUAGGGAAACUACCUUACUAGAGGGCGGGAAAGGUGUGAGGUACUCCAGGGGUAGCGGUGAAAUGCGAUAAUCCUUGGGGGACCACCAGUGGCGAAGGCGUCAGACUGGAACGCGCCUGACGGUGAGGGACGAAAGCCAGGGGAGCGAACGG
rnacentral:rRNA from 1 species